GAUGAAGAACGCAGCGAAAUGCGAUAAGUAAUGUGAAUUGCAGAAUUCAGUGAAUCAUCGAAUCUUUGAACGCACAUUGCGCCUCCUGGUAUUCCGGGAGGCAUGCCUGUUCGAGCGUCAUCAAAAACCUCAACCCAUGAUUUAUUGUGAGUUGGUUCUGCAUUGGACUCCUUGUGGGUCCUUUGCGAAAUCCAAUGGCGAAGAGCCACGCAACCAAAGCGUAGUAUAACUAUUUCGUCAUGGAAGCGUGGGUGCCUCUGCCGUAACCCCCAAUUUCUUAGUUUUUGACCUCGGAUCAGGUAGGGAUACCCGCUGAACUUAAGCAUAUCAAUAAGCGGAGGA
rnacentral:misc_RNA from 1 species